UUACUUCCCUGGCAGGGGAGAGAUGUGAUCAUGAACAUGGUUCUCCUAGGAUGGGGCUCAUUCAUUGCACUUCAAUUGCACUUCAUUGCAGUCUCCCCAAAUGCAAAAAACUCAACUGCAGAACUUGUGGUAAUGGCGGGGCUGCGUUCACACUCUUCCCCA